UACAGAGGUGGCAAGCGUUGUUCGGAAUUACUGGGCGUAAAGGGCGCGUAGGCGGUUCGUUAAGUCCUGUGUGAAAUCCCCCGGCUCAACUGGGGAACUGCACAGGAAACUAGCGGGCUUGAGUUCGGGAGAGGGAAGCGGAAUUCCGGGUGUAGCGGUGAAAUGCGUAGAUAUCCGGAGGAACACCGGUGGCGAAGGCGGCUUCCUGGACCGGAACUGACGCUGAUGCGCGAAAGCGUGGGGAGCAAACGGG
rnacentral:rRNA from 1 species